rfam:Gossypium raimondii Chr04_contig_1406, whole genome shotgun sequence.
UUUUAAAAAUUCCAUCCAUUUAUACAGUUAAAAUUUGGCAUGAUUAACUGAAUAAGUAGUCAGUGUUAUGUGGCAUGCCAUGUGUACAUCAAGCUGAUGAACAGAAAUCAAUUUUUAAAAGUAAAAAUGAAUGGAAUUUUUAGCA